UGCCCCCCACCCCCUCCGUCUAUCGACCGCAGGAUGCCGGCGCCGGAGGUUCGAUACGGAGCAGUGACACUCCGGAUCAAUACCGCCUGAAUAAAAACCCGCUCGCCCCUCGCCACUUUCCGCUUUCCCCUCCUUGCCUCUCUCGCCUCCUCUUCGGCGGCCGGGCGGGAAGAGAGUUGGGGGGCGCCUCUCACCGCCCUGGCUGGGCUUGGCGGCCGGGCCGGGGUUGGGGUGUCCCGCGCCCUCUUUGGGGGGCUCCCUUUCCCCUCUCUCGCCCGGCUUCCUUCCUCGGGCUUUCCCUUCUUCUUACCGUUUGCAGAGCGCAGGGCGAGCGGCGAUUUGAGGCGCCAUCCGUGCUCCGGGCCGGCGGAUCUUUGGAAGACCAAGGGGACCGGUAGUGGGAUGAACAUUGCGAGGACCUAGUUCAGGCCGCCUUCGCCUCUCCCGGAAUCGCCCCGUCGUUUGAACCCACUUCGGGUCUCCCGAGGAGAGAAAAGCGAGCCCGAGCAACUCCUCCGGAUCCAGGGCGAGCUCUCUCCGUUCGCCGCGCUGCCCCGGUUCCCUCCACGCCCAGGCAGGGUCUCGUCGCCCACUUCGAGCCCCGGGAAAGACCCCCGGGAAAGAGAUCGUUGCUGCUGCUGCCGCCCCGGGCGGACUUGGGCCAUCCACCGCUCCUCCUUUCGCCCCCCCCUUUCGGGGGUCAAAGGAGGCCAGGAGCGGCUCCAGACCGGCCGUCGGGGUCGCAGUCGCUUCCCCGAAGGGGCUACCGAGGAGGCUUCGAGUCUCCUCGAUCCGGCCACGCAGUUCUUGGCCCCGAACCGCCAUCGCUUGCGGGCAGGAAAUUCCGACUAAGCUAAAUAAGAGCGAGAGCCACUUUUCGGUUUUUCCCCAUUUGGGAGAAGGCAGCGGGGAGAAAGCAGGUCCUUGCCUCUUCUCUGUCCUGGGGCUACUUCUUUCACUCCCCCCAAUCCUUUCGGCGUUAAACCCACCGGGUUUCACCGAAAGGCCGAGUGUCCAGGGCCAGCCCAGCCCGAAACCCUAGCGCUGCUGCUCGUCAUCGCUCCGGUUUCGAAGAGCCUAAUAUUUCCUCUUCCUCAAUUCUCCCCUUUAUUUCUCUGGACCAAAGUGGACCUUCCUCUUAAUUCCGCAACUCCUGAUCGGCAGCCUAUUUCCAACCCCAAAGGAAAUCCACCGCCAAGGCUAUUUUUUUGCAUCCCAUGUCACAAAAAAAUGACACACAGGACACACCUACGCAACCCUAACCCAUUGUAAGAGACAUUCCCCCUAUAUUGUAACAAAAGCCAAAACGGAGGUUUUGGAUUUGCUGUUUGAUUUUCUUGCCCGGGAAAGAGGCUGCAGUUGCGUUCCAUUCCUGCUUCCAGAGAGAAAAGAAAGCAGUAUUCAAGUAUGGAAGAAGAUAAAAUCAGAGCUGGAUGGGAAGAUGGCACAGGGAAUAAUGGAUAAAAAGAGGGUUUAUCCAUAUAGAUAUAUAUAUAUAUAUAAACGUUCAAUGAGAUUCUUUAGGGUGCAAGUGUUUAAAAAAAAGCUUUCUAUCCUCAGUGCAAAGAAGUGGAGAUAUUUUUUUUAAAAAAAAACAACGAUUGCUGCAAAAGGACGACAGCGAAGUGCCGAAGGAAGCAUCGUCUGCGUAACACAGAAGAGAAACAUCUGGGCUAAACCUUCAACAUGUGGGUGGCAGGGUCUCUGUGUUUUUGCGUUACUUUAUUCCUGUCAUGGGUAUUGAUGUCAGCAGGCUUUGGAGACACAAGCCUUUCUACUUUUAGCAAAAACAUCAUCCUAAAUCUUCACACCUUUUCCUCAAGAGGCCAAUAAAACUGGGCAGAAGGCUGGUGUGCAGGGAAACCCCAUUCGGUAAUAAUCUAUGUCACUUUCCGAAAACUGUACGGUUCUGUUGCUUCGUGCAUGCAAAAUACUCAAUAAAGGCAAUUCUGGAUUUUAAAAGGUAGAACAA